CUUGGAACAGGCACUCCACUCUGUGGUCUGGACCAGGCAGUUGGCUCGAAUCAUAGUUGGGUCUGGGCCAAACGUGUCUUCCAGUCGGUAAGCUGUGAGAGCAGAGCACACAAACACGAGGUAACGGGAUGAAGUGACUGACAGAGCCUGACUUCCUGCUAUGAAAAAGUGUCCCAGUACCGUCAGUGGAGAAACUGACCCAGUAGAACUUAAAACAC